UUGAGCAUUCCCAGAUAGUCAAUGCUCUGACAUAAAUACAAGGAUAUCCUUGAGUAAGGCUUACACAGUUUAUCCUUGUAUUUUUGCAAAGUGAACUGCUCGUCUUCUUUGUACCAAGAUAUUGUGUCUUCGACAGCAGAAUGGUCCGGGUAUAAGAGCUUAUAAAAUCUGGGAUCGUCAUGACGUACGAUCGUUUCGUUCAAACGGUGGUGUUUCUCCAGUGCCUUUGCCAAGAGAAUAUCUUCACUAUCGCUAGGGCUCACCACAAUGAAUAGAUUGCAGUACCUUUUUGACGACAGGCUACCGUCCUCAAUGGCCAUGAGCACCCCGACAUUGAUCUUUACUUCCUUGGGGACCGAUACCUCUUUUUACUUUCGCUUCACUGGCUUAUCAGCGGAGAAAUGCUGCUCUUUGCGCUUCCUAAAAGAGGGUUGACCAACACUGUCUCAUAUUGGCCAUUGGCCAUUUCGAAAUGGCCAUUUGUCAAGCACUAGUGGUAAUAUAAUGGUAAUAUAACACUGUAACAUAGGAGCUAUUCAGAAUUAGAAGUACCAAGGCCAAGAGAUAGGGCUAAUACAAUCGUGUAUAUGGUGAAAAGUUAGAGGGAGGGGUGUUCCACCAUAAAUAGCAGACAGUCAACACUGCAAGUACCAUGGCAAAGGCAUAGGCUAUGUGGCAAGUGGUGGAAAUGGUGGAUAUAGUGAAAAGUAAGGGGGAGAGGUGGUCAGCCAUACAUAUAGCAGACAGUCAACACUGCAAGUACCAUGGCCAAGGCAUAGGGCUAUGUGGCAAAUGGUGGAUAUGGUGAAAAGUAAGGGGGAGGGGUGGUCCAUCAUACAUAGCAGACACAUAGCAUUGCAAGUACCAAGGCCAAGGCAUAAGGCUACGUGGCAAAUGGUGGAUGUGGUGAAAAGUAAGGGGGAGGGGUGGUGCACCACACAUAUAGCAGACAGUCAACACUGCAAGUACCAUGGCCAAGGCAUAGGGCUAUGUGGCAACAAACAACAACAAAGUGGGAAGGUUCUAUCUAGACAUGACAAAGGAUGACCAUAUCUAGGAUAUGAUAUCAAAUUGCAACAUGGUAUUAGUUUGAAAUACAACUGUUUACUGUUACUGGUCUUCUUCCACCCUUCGCUUUUUGGGUGUUGGCUUGCUUUCCUCUUGCCUUUGUUUGAGGUAGUCCUCGUGGUGCAUAUUGCUGUAGUCAAGAAGAAGUAAAAGUUUAAGUUUUUUUUUUUAAUUUCCUGUUUUCAGGGGGGCUUUUUACUAAAUAUGUGAUAACUGUAAUGUUUCAUUAACGCCAAUGUUUCCUUUUUAUAAGAUUCCAUUAUGAUUUUUAGACACAGGAUCAUAAUUAAAUGCUUUAUUGUCACAAAUGAUGGGUCAUUUUCUUGUAUAUAAUUAUUGCUUCAUGAAAAUUGGCGUGCUGCAGCGUUUUUGUAGCUACUGCGCAUGUGCGAGUAGCUACUAUGUCAUCACGCAGAAAAAGAAAAAAUAUAUAACGUUUGGCCGCGGGGUUUGCUGGGAAAAUUUGAACUCGGAUACACUUCGGGAUAUGAUCGUUACGAUGCGCCAGACUAGAAUCACUUUAUAAAGAAAAAAUAUAUCUAAAUAAUCAAAAGCUUUUGACAUACUCGACUUGUGCUUUAGAACGGUUUAAUACAAGCAGUACAAAAAUUAUUUUAGUAUCCUUCUUUUUGCUAGCGUUGGCUUCGUGGCUAAGUGGUUAAGGUCGUUGUAUCUGAUUUCGUAGGUUGCGGAAUCCUUCCACUGGAUAUUUUCUUUUUUUUUUCCCAGCAUAUCUUUCCUGCUUAUCAAUUUAAGAGCUAGGCCUAUCAUCAUUUACUCUUAGAUUGUUGCUGGUUGUGACUUGGGUGACUUUGCCCAAGCCCGCUAUGUUGAGUUCCAUGGCAAUUUUAAGUAGCCUUUCUUUCGCGGACAGGUCAGACUCCUUCCCUCUUGCCCUGAAGACACUCUUCCUUGUGAGAAGGGAAAGGCUUGUCACCUCCCCCUUCUCUAACUGCUGUUUGGUCUUCUUCCGACUGGGUGGCGGGGGUGGUGUCUCCCUCUGACUCACUUGUAUCAUCAUUAUUGGCUAUGGCUUUACCCACAAUUUGACCUACAAAAAGGGGGGGUUGUCAUAGCAGGAAUUGCACAACUUGUUUUAAAGUGUGUUAUUUGCCUGUAACUAUAUAUGGGAGUAAAAUUCAACAGCCUUGUAUGCAUGCUUGUACUAAAGAAUAUUUAAUAUAGGAAGUGGUAUUAUAGCAGUCCAAGUGUGAUACAAGAUGUAGUCUAUUAUACCAAGACAAUGGGUUAGUCUAUUUUUAGUUGAAAACAUUUAGCAUUUAGAUAAAUCUUGGUGGCUAUUAUGGAUUUACCUUAAUAGGGUAGUUCUUCUAUUAAUGUUUUUUUAAUUUUCAUCUGCAAAAAUAACCUUUAACUUUGGAUGGUUAUUUGCCCCAGUAAAUAUCUUAAAAUAUUUGUCCUAGAGGACAAGUGGUUGCUCUAAGUAUCUCAAACGGGUAUAUCAGCUAAAGCACCAUAAAUCUUUUUUGAAUAAUUGUCCAUCAUGGUAUACACAUGUUAGGUACUUACAAAAUUGAUUGAGACUUGUCUCAACAAGCGAAAUUGCUACUUCCUCCGCGGUGUAUGACAGUACAUGGGCAGGCCUUUCUGGCUCUUGUUCAUCAUUGUCAGCUUCGUGGGAGGCACUCUCAGCUAGGCCAUACAAUACAAUACAAUAAUACAAUACAAUAAUUUAUUUUCCGUCGAUGACGUGAGGAGUGGUCACCCAGUCUCCCGAGCUCGGGGAGCUCAUGGUACAAACGCUCGACAACACUACUGACAACGAUUACAUUACACAUUACAUAAUAAUUCUAAUUAUGGGAAUUAGGGAGAAUUUAAAUACAGUUGCUGCAUUGGCAGCCAUGUGGAAUGAUGUCGGGUAGGUUCUUGCGGAACUCAGAGACGGAAUUAGCAGCUUUAGCAGAGUUAGGUAGUUGGUUCCAAAAAUGUGAUAUUAGGUAGUAAAAAGAGUUAUGCAUAUAUAACGAUUGAUAGGAUGGCUGUAUAAGAUUAUGAACAGAAGAGCGCAAAUUGUACUGUGAAGACCGGGUUACAAAGAAGUUGGCAAUAUAAGUAGCCUGUUGCAUCCUAUAUGAUUUAAAAAAUAAUAGAAGAGCCUGAACUUGUCGCCUAUGCUCAAGUUUACGCAUAUUGGAUAUAGCUAAACAGUUUUCAUUCAAUGACGAUCUACCUAGAUUAAGAAGUGUCCUUAAACUAUAAUAGUUAGACUUCUCUAGCCUGUCCUUCUGAGUCUUCGUAGCCCCGAGGAGCAGAGGAGAGCAGUAUUCGAGGUGAGGGACGAGUCCAGUGUGACGCCCAGUAUUUUCAACGUUGUCUCAACUUUGAUGUGGUCGGGACCGGGAGAUCGUACUCGUAGCCACUCUUCCUACCAAGCACCAUUGCCUGCGUCUUGCUGGUAUUAAUGCCGAGGUAAUUGCUGGAGAACCAGUCAUUUAUUCGAGUGAUAUCUCCGUUCAUGGCAAAUUCCAUGGCUACCGGGCAGGUGCUUGCGUAGUACUGCGUAGUGUCGUCCGCAUAUAAUCGCAGUGACGAUUGGAGGGCACUGUAAUUUAGAUCGUUUAUAAAGAUGUUAAAGAAAAGCGGACCCAGUAGACUUCUCUGGGGUAUGCCACAGUGGAUUUCAAGCCAGUCAGACACGGCCCCAUUACAGCGAACGCGUUGGAAUCUUCCAGUGAGAUAGGACUGGAUGGUCUUUAAUGCUGCAGGGGAAACUCCGUAUGCUGACAACUUGGCUAGGAGGAGAUUGUGGCAGAUCGAAUAAAAUGCCUUAGACAAAUCGAUUGCGACCACGCCCACGCUCUCCCUCUUGUCGAGUGAAGCCCGCCAGUCCUCAGUCAACUUAAAAUAGCGUCCCGCUGAAUUUUACUUCAUCAUCAUUAUUAUCAUUCUCGUGGUCGUCUCACUGUCUCCGAUGUGUCCAUAGAUUCAACUUUCAUGACAUCAAUUAAAAUCUGUACUGGAACUGCUA